GACGAACGCUGGCGGCGUGCUUAACACAUGCAAGUCGAACGGAAAGGCCUUUUCGGAGGUACUCGAGUGGCGAACGGGUGAGUAACACGUGGGUGAUCUGCCCUGCACUCUGGGAUAAGCCUGGGAAACUGGGUCUAAUACCGGAUAGGACCGCACUUUAGUGUGUGUGGUGGAAAGUUUUUUCGGUGUAGGAUGAGCCCGCGGCCUAUCAGUUUGUUGGUGGGGUAAUGGCCUACCAAGGCGGCGACGGGUAGCCGGACUGAGAGGUUGGUCGGCCACAUUGGGACUGAGAUACGGCCCAGACUCCUACGGGAGGCAGCAGUGGGGAAUAUUGCACAAUGGGCGCAAGCCUGAUGCAGCGACGCCGCGUGGGGGAUGACGGCCUUCGGGUUGUAAACUCCUUUCGCCAGGGACGAAGCGUUUUGUGACGGUACCUGGAGAAGAAGCACCGGCUAACUACGUGC
rnacentral:rRNA from 1 species